rnacentral:rRNA from 1 species
UACGUAGGGUGCGAGCGUUGUCCGGAAUUAUUGGACGUAAAGAGCUCGUAGGCGGCCUGUCGCGUCGGAUGUGAAAGCCCGGGGCUUAACCCCGGGUCUGCAUUCGAUACGGGCAGGCUAGAGUGUGGUAGGGGAGAUCGGAAUUCCUGGUGUAGCGGUGAAAUGCGCAGAUAUCAGGAGGAACACCGAUGGCGAAGGCAGCUCGCUGGGACGGUACUGACGCUGAGGCGCGAAAGCGUGGGGAGCAAACAGG